rfam:Homo sapiens chromosome 17, GRCh38 reference primary assembly.
GCCAGGUGUGGUGGCGCAUGCCUAUAAUCCCAGCUACUUGGGAGGUUGAGGCAGGAGAAUCGCUUGAACCCGGGAGGCGGAGGUUGCAGUGAGCCGAGAUCACGCCACUGCACUCCAGCCUGGGUGACAGAGCAAGACCCUGCCUCAA